rnacentral:rRNA from 1 species
UGCGUAGGCGGAUAUUUAAGUCGGGUGUGAAAUCCCCGGGCUCAACCUGGGAACUGCACUCGAUACUGAAUGUCUAGAGUAUGGUAGAGGAAAGUGGAAUUUCCGGUGUAGCGGUAAAAUGCGUAGAUAUCGGAAAGAACAUCAGUGGCGAAGGCGGCUUUCUGGACCUAUACUGACGCUGAGGUACGAGAGCGUGGGGAGCAAACAG